UACGUAGGGUGCAAGCGUUAAUCGGAAUUACUGGGCGUAAAGCGUGCGCAGGCGGUUUUGUAAGUCUGUUGUGAAAUCCCCCGGGCUCAACCUGGGAAUGGCGAUGAAGACUGCAAGGCUAGAAUCUGGCAGAGGGGGGGGUAGAAUUCCACGUGUAGCAGUGAAAUGCGUAGAGAUGUGGAGGAACACCGAUGGCGAAGGCAGCCCCCUGGGUCAAGAUUGACGCUCAUGCACGAAAGGCGUGG
rnacentral:rRNA from 1 species